rnacentral:misc_RNA from 1 species
AAGUGACUAAGACAGAGCUGGAAUCUUUUAUAAAGUUUGCUCCAGCAUAUUUUAAGUAUCUUUCAGAAUCCAUAAACUCAAGGAGUCCUACUUGCCUGGCAAAAAUUUUGGGGAUCUAUCAGGUGACAUCUAAGCAUCUUAAAGGAGGGAAGGAAUCUAAACUGGAUGUGCUAGUUAUGGAGAACCUUCUAUUUGGGAGGAACCUAACGCGGCUUUAUGACCUUAAAGGAUCUGCCAGGUCUCGUUACAAUCCCGACUCUAGUGGAAGUAAUAAGGUCUUACUGGAUCAGAACCUGAUCGAGUCUAUGCCAACUUCACCUAUUUUUGUU